rnacentral:rRNA from 1 species
AUUGAACGCUAGCGGCAGGCUUAACACAUGCAAGUCGAGCGGAGCGAGGGUGCUUGCACCUUAGCUUAGCGGCGGACGGGUGAGUAAUGCUUAGGAAUCUGCCUAUUAGUGGGGGACAACAUUCCGAAAGGAAUGCUAAUACCGCAUACGCCCUACGGGGGAAAGCAGGGGAUCUUUGGACCUUGCGCUAAUAGAUGAGCCUAAGUCGGAUUAGCUAGUUGGGGGGGUAAAGGCCUACCAAGGCGACGAUCUGUAGCGGGUCGGAGAGGAUGGUCCCACACACUGGGACUGAGACACGGCCCAGACUCCUACGGGGGGCAGCAGUGGGGAAUAUUGGACAAUGGGCGGAAGCCUGAUCCAGCCAUGCCGCGUGUGUGAAGAAGGCCUUUUGGUUGUAAAGCACUUUAAGCGAGGAGGAGGAGCUCUAGGUUAAUACCCUAGAUGCUUGGACGUUACUCGCAGAAUAAGCACCGGCUAACUCUGUGCCAGCAGCCGCCGUAAUAC